UGGGGAAUAUUGCACAAUGGGCGCAAGCCUGAUGCAGCCAUGCCGCGUGUGUGAAGAAGGCCUUCGGGUUGUAAAGCACUUUCAGCGGGGAGGAAGGGAGUAAAGUUAAAACCUUUGCUCAUUGACGUUACCCGCAGAAGAAGCACCGGCUAACUCCGUGCCAGCAGCCGCGGUAAUACGGAGGGUGCAAGCGUUAAUCGGAAUUACUGGGCGUAAAGCGCACGCAGGCGGUUUGUUAAGUCAGAUGUGAAAUCCCCGGGCUCAACCUGUGAACUGCUUCUGAUACUGGCAAGCUUGAGUCUCGUAGAGGGGGGUAGAAUUCCAGGUGUAGCGGUGAAAUGCGUAGAGAUCUGGAGGAAUACCGGUGGCGAAGGCGGCCCCCUGGACGAAGACUGACGCUCAGGUGCGAAAGCGUGGGGAGCAAACAGG
rnacentral:rRNA from 1 species